rnacentral:rRNA from 1 species
CUACCUGUCAUACUACGCUUGCUGAUGUGAAUCGGUUGGCGUUCUAUGAGGGACUGACUGGGGUUACCAGUAGGAAGUUUGAGGCAAUAACAGGUCUGUGAUGCCCUUAGAUGUUCUGGGCUGCACGCGCGCUACACUGAUGGAGGCAGCGAGUGUUACCUGUGCCGGAAGGUAUGGGAAAUCUUGUGAAACUCCAUCGUGCUGGGGAUAGACCAUUGCAAUUAUUGGUCUUCAACGAGGAAUUCCUAGUAAGCGCAAGUCAUCAGCUUGCGUUGAUUACGUCCCUGCCCUUUGUACACACCGCCCGUCGCUACUACCGAUUGAAUGGCUUAGUGAGGCCUCUGGAGCUGGGAUCCUGAGAAAUUGGGAUUUUGGUGAAACUGGU